UCGUUCUGCGGUGAAUAGCCGGUACUGUACCUCAGAGCUGGAGGGGCCGAAGGGGCCGAAGGGGUUCGGCGUAGUGACCGGGCAAAAACAUUUACAUCGCAGCAACAAACUCCGCAAGCACCAUUGCUCUAGUGCACGCCAUGUCGCAGAAUUCAGUAAAAAUACCCAGUACAUCGACAAAGAAAAGCAGAAUUGAAUAUGAGGGCAAGCUGGAGAAAAACGUAAACAGAGCUUCUGUAGGUGUGUUAAAAAAGGAAGAGUGAGUGUAAUCACAAACAAGAGAAAAUCUGCAGAUGCUAGAAAUCCAAGCUACACACGUAAAAUGCUGGAGGAACUCAGCUUCAAUGGAAAGGAGUGUUGUCGACGUUUCGAACCGAGACCCUUCAUCAGGACUGAGAGAAAAAAAAUGCGUUAGAGUAAGAAAAUCGGGGUAAGAAAGAGUGCAUGAAAUUCAUUGCACGUGAGGAUAUAUAACUGGGAAUAUAGAAAUUACAGAGGAAUUAAGCAUCUACUUUGUGUCUGUCCUGAAGGAAGAAAACGCAAAGAAAAAUAUCACCAGAACUACCCAGGGUCUGGUGCAAGUGAAGAAUUCAAAUAAUUUAGUAUUAGUAAAACAAUAUUAUUAGAAAAGUUGAUGAGUCUGAAAAGUAACGAACCACGGGGAUUUGAUUUAACUAUAGCCCUGAGUUUUGGAAAUGAUAACUGUGCAAACUAUGGAUGCUCUGGUUGCUAUUUUCCAAAAUUCUAUAGAUUCUGCAAUGGUUACUGCAGAGCAGUCCUGAUCCUGGGAAUGCAUCCAGAGCAUUAAACAAGUUAUGAAAAUCUUACAUGAAGGUGCAUCAGGCAAUUUCACAAGCAAGUGGUAUGCUGGCAUUUAUUUCAAAAGGAGUAGGAGUUAAGCAUAAAGGAUAUUGACAAUGUAUUUGACAGUGGCAGUAUGUUGAUAUUGCUCUAACCUUCGGUGCCCUUGAGAAGGCAGUGAAAAGCCCCCUUCUUGAAUUGUGAUGAAGAUACUCCUACAAUGUUGUUGUUACUUGUAUGUCACCCGUCAGAUUUAUUAAUUUUUAUUUCAGUUAACUGCACAAUAUCAUGCUUCAUUUCAUAGCAGAUAAAGAAAGAAAACCUUUAUGUUGAGGGCAGAAGUAUCAAGAGUUCACCUAAACCAUAACUUCAUAUUGGAACAUUUUUCAGUCCCUUUGCUCUGUUGUAAGUAGACAUGUUGUUAAGGCUGCAUUAAAGGUACUUAUAAAUAAAUGUUGUUUUUAUGCAGCUUUUUACAUAGUUCCGUUACGGUGUUUUCAAUGACAAUAUAACACCUCAUAUCUAUAAAUGACAAAUUGUUUUUUUUACUAUCUACCAAAUAUCAACAACCACCAAAAUCCAUGUACAAAUCUUUAACUGUAUCAACAGUUUUCCUUAUAUUUCUAUCGGCAAACUGACAUUUGGUUUCAAUACUCAGGUCAUUAAAUGCAGAUUAGGAACAACAGGAGUUCAACUGAUACUCUAUUUGUCCUCAUUGUUGCUAAUGUCUAACUCGAAAAGUCACUCAGUAAUUUAGACAAAACUCUUUCUAGAAAGAAAAAAGUCAUCCUAUCAAAGCUAAACCAAGUACAAAACAAUUAAAUGGUACAGGACACACAGUGAUACUUAAAAAAUCAAAUUGCUUACUAUUAUGAUAAUUAUAUUUGCACCCAAAAGCAAAAUACUGCAGAAAAUGUGAAAUAAGACUACUCGGCAGGCCAUGCAUCAUCUGUGGUGAGUCAAUGUUUCGGAGCAAUAACAUUAACCAGAAUUGGAAAUGAAACAAAUUGAAAAGAAUGGGCAGCAGUGGGGGUGGCGAGGGGAGAGGGGUGAAGAGAACUAACAAGAAAGUGUACGAUAAAGUAGAGGGCAAAGAAGAUACUGACACAAGCAGUGGUGGUGCAGUGGAAAAGGAUGUCAAUGGGUUAAUGUGGGAGGUGUAAAUAGGAGAUGAAUUAAAUUUGAAAUGCCAGAUGAGGGAGGGGAAUAAAGUGAAUGCUGGAAACAUAAGACACAAACAGAAACAGAUGAUUGUCAAAUUCAGCUUUGAAUUCUGAAGGCUGCAAUGGAGCAAGUCAGGUGGCAUGCUGUAAUUUCAGCUUACAUUGGAAGAGAUUAUGAGGUCAACGGUAGAGAGGCCAGACAGGGAGUGGAAAAGAGAAUUUCAGGCUACUGGAGGUUUAGGGUCACACAUACAAGCUGAGCAUAGGUACUCUGUAAAGCAGUUAUCUCUCAUCCAUGUUCCUUUUCUCUGAUACAGAGGAUGGAGCAUGGAGAUGAAGCUUCAGGUCAGUGACCUUUCAUUUAAAGUUCCAAUUAAAUGUUAGCACCAGUUUCUCUUUAUAGAUCUUGACUUAUUAGACUGAGGAUUUUCAUAAUUUUCCAUUCUUCAAUGCUUCACAAACAAAAUAUAGACAUUGGACACAAGAAAAUGGUCUUUCUAUCAGCUCUUAAAGUUCCUUUUAUUGGGAAGAUUCCAAUAGAGCACUGAAGAGGAAGGAUGUUUUUAAUGUUAGUAUCAGAUGAAAGAAAGCUCAUAAAUGCAUGACAUUGACAGCAAUGUAACUAUCAAACAUCAGCUACUGGGAGCUGGGUCAUAAGCUUGAAUUUAUUUGAUGGUCAAGCAGAACAUUUAAGAAGUUUGACUCAAGUAUCUUGAGGCGUUCUCUCAUUUGACACCUGAGGCUCUGAGUGAAAGCUUCCUUCAUCUGUGACCUUAGAGUGCACUUAGCAAUAGGGAGCAGCUACAAAGUCACAAAAGAAAUAAAAGUAAAAUGAGUAAUAAACUGUGUGGAAAUAGAUUAUCUGUUGUCAAAUAGAACUUAAGUGGUGAAAGCAACUAUGGGAAUGAGUCAUGCAGUGAGGGGGGAGAAAACAAAACUUGAGUAUUGAAAAAUCUAACCUUUUUAAAAAAAUCCUCUCACUUUCUCCUGUAAGUUUCCCUUUGUUGUGAUUUCUCUGGAAGUAUGGUGUGUAUAUUUAGAACGAGGCUGCUACAGCAUCUAUUUCCAGUUUAAAAUCCUAGAUAAAAUGGUAUGGACAAUGCUGUUUGUGAAAAUGUAUUCUCUGCUUCCCAUUACAGUGUUUGCUUGCCUGAGAGUUCUGGCGAAUGACGGUAGUAAUUAGAGACUGUGUUGCACACAUGAAAGAUGGAAUACAAAUUAGUGAACCAGGUGCAGGGCAAUGGGUUCUGCUGCUGUUUAUCUUUAGAAUUACAUCGAGAUCACCUUCCAAAAAUACCACAUUUGACCCAGUCAGUCCAUUUAUGCUUUCCUUAAGUCUCUUUCCAUCAUUAAUUAUAUAGCUUUAUCUAUAUAGUUCUUAUAUUCAGCCUCCCUUUACAUUGAUUUACAGUUUGCCUCAAUGUAACCUACUGCAGUGAGUUACACUUACUCUAAUUUUCUUUUUAAUGUGUUUAAUUUUGACAGCAUCAACUUCUAUCCUUACUCAGCUCCCCAUCCAAGAAGAUUCAUGCUUUACAUAAAAAACAUUCAUGGUGUUAAAGACCUGUAAGAUCGCCUCCAAGCCUUCACUUUUCAAGCUGAGUUACAACUUCACUCUUCUAGAAACAUAGAAACAUAGAAAAUAGGUGCAGGAAAUAGGCCCUUCAGCCCUUCGAGCCUGCACCCCUAUUCAGUAUGGUCAUGGCUGAUCAUCCAACUCAGAACCCUGUACCUGCUUUUUCUCCAUACCCCCGAUCCCUUUAGCCACAAGGGCCAUAUCUAACUUCCUCUUAAAUAUAGCCAAUGAACCGGCCUCAACUGUUUCCUGUGGCGGAGAAUUCCACAGAUUCCCCACUCUCUGUGUGAAGAAGUUUUUCCUCAUCUCGGUCCCAAAAGGCUUCCCCUUUAUCCUUAAACUGUGACUCCUUGUUCUGGACUUCCCCAACAUUGGAAACAAUCUUCCUACAUCUAGCCUGUCCAAUCCCUUUAGAAUUUUAUACGUUUCAGUAACAUCCCCCCUCAAUCUUCUAAAUUCCAGUGAGUAUAAGCCUAGUCAAUCCAGUCUUUCUUUAUAUGAAAGUCCUGCCAUCCCAGGAAUCAAUCUGGUGAACCUUCUCUGUACUCCCUCUAUGGCAAGAAUGUCUUUCCUCAGAUUAGGGGACCAAAACUGCACACAAUAUUCUAGGUGCGGUCUCACCAAGGCCUUCUACAACUUCAGUAGAACCUCCCUGCUCCUGUACUCAAAUCCUUUUGCUAUGAAUGCCAGACCUACGUAUCCUCUGCAGUCCAUAAAUCAGUACCCUGAUUUGUAUCAAUAGCUUAACUCAAGGUCCUGACUCUAUUUUUUUCUGGAAAUACAUUCUAAUGCUGGUUUUCUUUCCCCACCACCCCCCAAACCCCACGCUUCAUCUGUUUUUAUAUUCAAAGUAAAUUUUUAUCUAAGUUUGUAUAUAUCACCAUAUACAAUACUGAAAUUCAUUUUCCUGCAGGCAUGCCCAGCAUAUCUAUAGAACAGUAACAGCAUCAAUGAAAGAUCAGCCAGAAGCAGAAGACAACAAACUGCAAUUGCAAAUAGAGAUAAAUAGCAAUAAGGAGCAAUAACAUGAGAUAAAGAGUCUUUAAAAUGAGGCCAUUGGUUGUAGGAACAUUACAAUGAUGGGCAAAUGAAUGUGGUUAUCCCCUUUUAUUCAACUGUUCUUGAACCUAGUGGUGUGAAUUCUGGGACUCUUGUACCUUCUGCCUGUUGGCAGCAGCAAGAAGGGAGUAUGAUCUGGGUGGUGGGGAUCUCUGAUGCUGGGUGCUGCUUUCCUACGACAGCGUUUCAUGACGAUGUGCUCAAUGGUUGGGAGGGCUUUACCCGUGAUGUACUGGGCCAAAUCCACUACCUUUUGUAAGAUUUUCCAUUCAUUGGGAUUGGUGUUUCUAUAUCAGGCCAUGAUGCAGCCAGUCAAUAUACUCUCCACUACACAUCUAUAGAAGUUUGUCAAAGUUUUAGAUGUCAUAGUGAAUCUCUGCAGACUUCUAACGAAGUAGAAGUGCUGCUGUGCUUUCUUCAUAAUUGCAAUUACAUGCUGGGUAGCACGUCAGAUCCUCUGAAAUAAUAACACCAAGGAAUUUAAAGUUGCUGAUCCUCUCCACCUCUGAUUUCCCUCUUCUGAAGUCUAUAAUCAGUUCCUCGGUCUGGCUGACAUUGAGUGAGAGGUGGUUGUUAUGACAUCACUGUCUCCCUCCUGUAUGCUGAUUUGUCAUCAGAUCCACCCAGAUCUGGGAUGUUCAUGCUGGGCUGAAGUAUCUGGUCUUGUGUUGUAUGUAUUGUACUGUCCUUGAAUGCAUAUUUUACAAAUAAUGCAUGAUAUAAUAUUGUUUUCAGAAUGUAAUAUGUCACCCUCACCUGUAUUGAA